GUCAAUUAAGAUGAUUUUGGUGAAUGUAAGUUUCUGGGUCACUUUCGGUUUCAUGAAAGAUAACCUCAAUGAUUUUGAUGUGAAGGGUUAUAGAGUAUAAGUAUUGAAGUAAUUCGUUGUAAUCUUCACAUUGAAGAGUUUCAUUUACAACUGAUCACACUUUAAGUCCAAGAGAGUUAUCCCAAUAAGCAUCAAUAUGAAAUUCCUUUUACUUACAAUUAUUGUGUGCUUUGCCUUGCUGGCUGUUACUAUGGCUAUUCCAUCGGAAGAAGGAGUUUUUAGUGAUACUCUUGAUGGAAGUGAUGUCCAAAAUCCACAAGAACCAAAUUCCUUUUUCAAAUUGCUUCACCUCAAGAAGAGAAUUCUUCACCAUCAUUUAGGCUAAGAUCAAAAUUGGACUCCAACUUAAAUUAAGACUUUUCUAUAGACUCUAUACUCAAUGCAAAUAAAUUUAAGUAAAUACAAAGUGAAACCAACACCACA